CCCGCUGAACUUAAGCAUAUCAAUAAGCGGAGGAAAAGAAACUAACAAGGAUUCCCCUAGUAACUGCGAGUGAAGCGGGAAGAGCUCAAAUUUGAAAUCUGGCGGCUUCGCCGUCCGAGUUGUAUUCUGGAGAAGCGUUUUCCGUGCUGGACCGUGUACAAGUCCCUUGGAACAGGGCGUCGUAGAGGGUGAGAAUCCCGUCUUUGACACGGACUGCCAGUGCUCUGUGAUGCGCUCUCGAAGAGUCGAGUUGUUUGGGAAUGCAGCUCAAAAUGGGUGGUAAAUUCCAUCUAAAGCUAAAUAUUGGCGAGAGACCGAUAGCGAACAAGUACCGUGAGGGAAAGAUGAAAAGCACUUUGGAAAGAGAGUGAAACAGUACGUGAAAUUGUUGAAAGGGAAACGCUUGAAGUCAGUCGCGUCUUCUGGAACUCAGCCGUGCUUCUGCUAGGCGCAUUUUCCAGUUUGACGGGUCAGCAUCGGUUUCGGUGGGCAGACAAAGGCGCAGGGAAGGUGGCCGCUCCGGUGGUGUUAUAGCUUUGGGUCGCAUACAUUGGCUGGGACUGAGGAACUCAGCACGCCGAAAGGCCAGGUUUCGACCAUGUACGUGCUUAGGAUGCUGGCAUAAUGGCUUUAAUCGACCCGUCUUGAAACACGG
rnacentral:rRNA from 1 species